UUCAUUCCCCGCCCCUUUGUUCGCCGUGAGAGUAACGCUGUGAAUUAAAAGAAAUGACAAUAUUUCGUAUCUGCUCGCCCGGCCAGGAGAAGGGCUCUUGAGCCUGGCAAAAAUCAGGCGGAUCAUUCAUCGUGCCACCCCGCACCUGUGGGCUUGGCAUUGAAAACCCCGCGGACCUCUUCCUAUUCAACUUAAUUAUUCCCCUAAGGCGCACAAUGGUUGAAAUGGAGCAGGCAGCUGCAGUCCAGGACCCAGAAGCACAAAAAGAACAAGUUUGAAAUACCAGGUGCAUCCGAGAGAACCACGACAGGGAUUGAUAUGUUAUAGCCCAGGACAUGAACCUAGCAAUAAAGAUAUCAUUGCGAUUGUUUGCGGCUUCCACGCCAUGUAAAGCCGGAGGCGCCGGAGCAGGCUGCUUUCUGGCAGCGGAGCCUCUGCCUCCCCGGGCUCCCCCGGCGCCCUCCGCCAAACCCGAGCACCUGUUGGCCAGACCCCGGCCCCGUCGUGGGAAUCGCCUCCCGCCCACGCUUCCAGAGGAUUGUCGGUUUCGGUAAUUAAGUCGUCUUUACACCUGGAGCAUCACGAGUGAUGCUGGUUCCGGAAGCACAGCAUCAGCCCGCACACCUAGACCCCGCACCUCCCUCCUGUGAGACUGCGGGAAGCGAACUGCCUGCAAGUGCCUUUAACACUCCCUCCUACCCCAAGCGGGGCUGAGGGUUUCACCCCCGCUUUUGUUCUCUUCUCCCCUGCUUUCCAGCUCCCGCGGGGCUGCGGGCAGCGGCCGAGGGAGGCGGGACAGUCCCGGCUCCCGGGCGGGCCUCCCCCGCCUCCCCGGGCCGCCGUCGGGGCAGUGCUGGC